rnacentral:misc_RNA from 1 species
UCGACGCCGUGCUGCAGGACGUCGUCAUGUACGGGGUGGCUGGUCAGUUAUGUUUCACAUACAUACAUACAUAGCGGCUCGCUGGUGGUGCUGGUGGACGCGGCGCCGUGCGCGGGCGGCGUGCGCGCGUGCGUGCGGCGCGCCGACUCCGACGCGCAGAGACACUUCGACGCCGUGCUGCAGGACGUCGUCAUGUACGGGGUGGCUGGUCAGUUAUGUUUCACAUACAUACAUACAUAGCGGCUCGCUGGUGGUGCUGGUGGACGCGGCGCCGUGCGCGGGCGGCGUGCGCGCGUGCGUGCGGCGCGCCGACUCCGACGCGCAGAGACACUUCGACGCCGUGCUGCAGGACGUCGUCAUGUACGGAGUGGCUGCGACUCCGUUGAAAGAGCCGCCGCUGCAGGGCCAGACGGUGGUGGGCAAGUUCUCAGACGGACUGCACUACCGCGCGCUGUGCAGACGCACCAACAUCAAGCAGAACAAAUACCAGCUGGAGUACAUUGAGUAUGGCAACAUAGAAGUGUCCAAGUUGGAGAUGCUGUACCCUUGCCCGCAAGAGUACGACGUGGGCCAGGUGCCCACCGUGGUGUCCGUGGUGACGCUGGACGUCGGCGCCGAGCUCACGGCCGCCGCGCUGGAAUACCUCGAACAACUCAAGGAGCAGGAGAUGAUGCUGACUUUACCGGAUGGCGCCAAGACAGCGCCCAGCGGCAGCGCGGCCAUUUUGACAGUGAUCAAAACAAAUGAGAACAUGCAAAAGAAGCUUGUCGAAUUAUCCACGCCUGACUGGAAGAAAAUAGAAGAACGCGGAGGGGAUGUUGUCGAGACACAAUGCCUCAUGUACAGCGACAUGGAAUGCCUCCAACUACCCUCUACUGGCGGCAUGCUGCAGGUGUUGGACGUGAGCCUGCUGGCGGACGGCAGCGUGUCGGCGUGUCAGGAGGGACUUGCGCACGCGCAGUACGUGUUCACGCACCUCGCGAGCAUGAUGGCUGAAUACUGCAACAGCGAACUUGGUCGCCAACCGUACUUGCCGAAAGUCGAGGAGCUUUGCAUAGCGAAAUGUCCACCGAACUCGAAAUGGUACCGCGCCGUGUUCCUGGAGCAGUUGGACGGUCCCGGGGGCGGCAAGGCACGCAUCCUGUAUGUCGACACGGGGUACCUGGGCGUGGUACCCGUCGAGCUGCUCAGGAAGAUGCUGCCGGAGUUCGUGAAGGGACUGCCGGCCCUCGCGUGCCAUCUGGAGAUUAAAGAUUUCCCGUCACGUCCCACGCCAGACAUGCUGGCCAAAGCGCGGCAGCACAUGAGAGUCGACGAGCAAGGCCGCGGACAGCUGCGCGUCACCAAGUGCACCAAACUCGACGACGGAAUGUACUCCGUGGAGGCUAAGGAAUUGAUCCAGGCCAUGAUGGGAUGGGAGUAGAUUCGAGAAGCAUAUCGAUAAAAAAUCGAUAUCGCUAAAAAAUCCCUAUCGAUAAAAAAAUCGAUGAACUUCUUAGCCGUUAUAAUUGAGAGGACAAUGAGGACAACUUUUUGAUAUUUUUAAAUAUUUGCUAUUUUUUUAUAUAUUACAAACCUUUCCUUAACACUAACGAACACAUUAAAGAAAGAUUUAUCGAAUUCGGUGCAGUCGUUUGGAAGUUAUGCGCGUACAAACAUUACGGUUAAUUUUUAUUUAUAUAGAUUUGGAAUGUACGGUAAACGAUCUUCCUAUCUAGGUAGAAUAAAUACUUCUAUGUAAAUUAGGGAUGCAUUUUCUUGUUUGAUAAACAGCAGUAGGAACGAUAAGAUAGUAUAGUUAAACAAGUAAUAAAGAACCGCUUUCUGACGCCCUCUCGAUUACCACGGUAUUGAUGAUGUUUGAGAUCGGUUGUCGUAAUAUCGAUAUUUAAUAUCGAAUAAGUACUCAUAGCGAUUUUUGAUUAAGUCAUGCUUAUAUCGAUAUUUAAUGUCGAUUGAAUUGGAUUCAUUUGUAUUUUUAACAUUGGUUUAGCCGUACUAGUAUCGGUGAUUGAAAGCGAUAAUGGGCUAUAUCGAUAAAAUAUUCGGUGUUCGAAAUCGAUAAAAAAAUACUAUUGCUGACUGCGAAUUGACAAUUUCAAUAUUUUUUUUUUUUUAUAUAUUCGCAUCGGUUCGCAGAUAGUGAUUGGGGUCGUUUAUAGUAAUCGGCUGUACGUUAUAUUAGAAAUAUCGAUGUUCAAGAUCGAUAGAAAUGUAUAAGUAUUGUAGUUGUAUAUGGAGAAUAUCGAUAUGUUUUUUCUUGUGUGUAAUGAACGUUUAUUUCUUUCAUGUUACCUAUAGAUUUAAAUUUCAAAUGACAUCUUGACACAAUACUGAUAUGCUUUUUAUAAACAAACCGAUAGUCUCCACGUUAUAUCGACUUUUAACAUCGAUAUUUAUAAUAAUUAUCGUUCAAUCGGUAUCAGUGAAAGUUAUGUUACAAACAUUACAAUUAGGUUAUAAGUUUUGUAUUAAAACAUCGUUAAAUUAGACAUAUGGUCAAACUUAGUGUUUAAGUGAUCGAUCGACAAAUCGAUGGACUUUAAGCAUCGAUAACUGUAUCGAUAAGAUUUCACGGCUUGAUUUAUAAACCAUCUAUAAUAUUUUCUACUACUGUACAUUGCAAUCUGAUAGUAGAAUGAUAUAAAAAGAAAACCUAUAUAAAUAAUCUUAGAGGUUCUUCAGUAGAUAAGAAAACCUGCAUCAAUAGUUUAAACUAAAGUUUUUCAGUAGAUUACGUGUCUCACAUAUUGUAUAGAUACUAAAUAUAUCAUUUUGACAUUGCGUUACUAAAUGAACCCACAUACUCAAUUUGAAAAUAGCACAUUAAAGUUACUCGAACUGUAUGGAGAGGUUCCCUAUUUUGAAAAUAACAUUACAAUAAGUUAUUCGAACUGAAUAGAAGAGAGGUUCUCAUUUUUUUUUUUCUCAUAGACCCUUUCCAACUUUUGUUGGUUGCGGUGCACUUUUAAUUUUUACAGAGAAAAUGCAUUACAACUAUCGCUCAGACAUUGUGGGGUUUAUGUUGAAGUCACCUUACGACCCCAUUCAAUAUUAUCUGCCUUCAUAGGUGAAGUCAGCCAACAUUUUAGUACUUUACCAUCAAACCAGAUGAAUUUUCGUGGACCCCUUACGAAUUGUGGACUUCUACUUUUCGGUCUGUUGACUCUCGUUAAUUCUCCCGUGGUACCCUGAGGGUCCUGGACCACGGUAUCAGUGGUAUAGAAUAUCGAGAACACGAAUGUAAUAAUAAAGAUGCUCGACAUAUAGGUGCGGAUGUUAUAGAGGGUCUACUUCGAAAAACGAAAUCCGUAGUUUCGGAUGACGGAUCGCACGUUUUGUUACUACGAAGUGUUACGGAUCCGAUCUGUUCAUCGCAAUAUUUCAGACAUGGAGUAAUUUAUAGGGUUUCCCCAUCCUUUUUUAAAACCGUCUGCGAGGAUAAAGAUCUACUUCUUCUUCAGCCUUCAUCUACCCAAUGCUGAGUAAAGGCCUCUUCCAUAUUUCGCUAACUAGCGCGGUCUUGGGCUUUCCGCAUCCAGUCUUUCCCGGCCGUCCGAAUGAUGUCGUCGGUCCAUCUUCGCGGCUGCGUCCCCACGUUCUUGAGCCCAGUUCUUGGCCACCAUUCUAGCACCUUCCUCCCCCAUAGCCAUCUAAUGUGCGGCUUACCUGGCCUGCCCAUUUCCACUUCCUUCGAGCGAUGACUUCGGCUACGUCUCGAAGACUGGUUCUCUUGCGGAUCUCGGUAUUGUGUACCAUAUCCCGAAGAGAAAUACCCAACAUAGCUCUCUGGACUAUGGAGAGAGCUAUGCUGAUGCUUUUUCAAAAAAAAAAAAUACGUGGAGUUGAUCUUACAACUAUGGUAAGCUACAGAAUGGUGACAGAUCCGAAGUAAUUUGGUAGUAGAGUUAAAUCCGAAGUUCGUCGUUGCUUCGUUUCGGACCGACGUUUAGACAUUCGUUUUUAGAAGUAGACCGUCUGUAUUUGACGUCGGAACCGCGUCCCGGUAAGAUCAUUUGUGAUAGCUUCAGUAAACGCAGUUUUAUAAUAUAUAGCCGACUUAAUGUGAAUUAAUAUGAUUUGAUUCAACUAGUAGAGCCUAGGCUACGUUGGGAAGAUGGAAGUAGCCUUAAGGGAAAUUAGGCAAUCGCUUAGGGGUCCGGUAUAUGUCAGGGGCCUCUCGUCCUUAAGGAAAAGUGGCAAUUAAAGGAGAUGUCCAAAAGCGGUUUUUUAUUCGAUAAUUUUUUUUUUUUUUUUUUUAUUAUGGCCCGGCGUAGUGUCCCCACUGCGCCUGAUGGUAAGUGUAUUGGGGUCUUAAAGAAUGUCGACUGACGAGAGAUGAUUACCCCUCGGCAGUCGACACAAUUAUGCCGGCCUGGUAGAACCGGAUAUACACAGACUGAUCCUGAAGCUCGACUUAAGUGAGCCAUUGUGGCGGGUUUUGACAAAAUUAAUAAUCGACGAUGAUUAAAAUCGUCCAAGGAGAAUAAAAUUUCAGCGCAACGCUAUAUAUGUGUUGUUUUUGUCACAAUCGAUCCGGUUUAUAUCGAGAUGGUUUGAUUAUAAUUGAUAGUAAGCUAUUACCGAUAUUUUUAGAUAAUAUCGAAUAAAAUAUUUCGACUUCAAACUCACUUAUUACCUAGUUUUAAGACAUCCGCAUCGAAUUUCGAUAUGGUACCUAAAAUUGUUUGGAUAUGUCUAAAAGCUUUCUUAUUGAAAUAGGUUUUUACAAGAGCUUUUGAAUUGUCUAUGACAGUUUAAAAUUAAAGAAAAAUGUUUCUUUUAGGUUAUUUUCAGAAUAGCAUUCAAUUUCCCCAUUUUCAAGAUAUUAUUCCAUUUAUACAUUUUUAGUAUCGAUUGUAAUCAUUCGGAUCGUGAUAUCGAUUACAAGUUCCAUAUGCUUAUUUCGUUCCACCAAUUCGAUUGUACUAUUCCGGAAUUAAAUCAUUUCAUAUUGAUUCCCGAAUUAAAUCGAUGAACAAUCUAGUUCCGUUUUGUUACUUGGUUGAAACGGCUGGUUUCCAUUAUAAUCAUUCGGAUUCCGAUCGUGAUAUCCAAUGUCCAAAUGACACUGAUUAAGUAAAGUUUCAUUUCCUUCCCUGACUAUCCGUCAGUAUCGAUUGUACUUUCCACGUAUCGGAUCAUUAUCGAUACCUGAAUUAAAUCUUUUAAGAUUUCAAGUUCAAUUUGCUUGUUUAGUCCAAUCGGAUAGUAUCGAUUGGGCUUUUACGGACUCCUAAUCAUUCUAUAUUAGGUAUAUAUAUAGUAUCACGCCUAUAUUCCCUGAGGGUAGGCAGACUAUGGAUUGCCACGGUCGAUUAUGACACUUCUUACGCUUCCUACAUUUUUAUAAAUUUUUUCACGUUGCCUGGUUCAGAGUACUUUUGACUUGGCCUUUGCUAAGAAUGUCAGAUACGUUCGAAGGUUCGGUGAGGUCAAAAUUUUAUCCAUCAAGAUUUAUUAUAAAUUCUUAUGUCCGUGAUGUUUAUAAAGCUACGUAGCUUUAACUUACCACGGCAAAGGAUUCAAAUUAACUUUCCUUCUUUAAAACCUAAAUGGUUACUUUCAAAUUUAAAUUAUAUUCAUACAUUUCCCGUUUCUAGCGAUAGAGGUCGCUGGAUGCAUUUAUAAUUGGUUUGUAUAGAAAUCUUUAGAGCCUGUGUUUAGCGUCUUGUGGCAUUUCGGAACUUUUUACAUAAUUCCACGCCCCUAAGGUGUUUUUGGAAGUUCUGGCUUUAAUUGGCUAUUCAUAUAGAGUAGAAUAGCAAUCGUGUAUUGCAGAAUGAAGGUCAAAUACAGGUUGUAAUUAAAUAUUAAUAUGUGUGAAUACAUUAUAUCGUGCUAUAUAUUUCUCACGCACGUACUGUUAUGGCCAGUCACACUCGGUGACGUCACAGUUUGCUAUUUCUCUUAUUUGACAGCUACCCGUUACAGAGAACAAUUACUAAAGCCAUAGAAGACAUUCUCAGAUGGCUACUUAAUAUAUAUGUUGAUACUAUAUUACCUUAUGGCUUGGAUAAUGUGACAGAAAGAGAUGCAUGCUCAUUUCAUGCAUUUGAAAUUUACCUGUUUUUCCGUAACUUUAUUCCAGUAAUUUUACAGGGUCGAUUAACAAAAUAUCGACAAAAAAUAUUUCACAUGCAGAUCGUAACUUACAUUGCGGUUUAAUAUGAUUUUUUAAUAAAAACAUGUUUUACCAGAUUACUUAAAAUGGUGGGUUCGGAACAAUAACACACUUUAAAUGACAAAACAUUUUGAUCAACUUAAAGAGUUAAUCUAAAAAAUAACAUUAUUGAAGUCUCCCUGAGUCAGUAUCAGAUAAAAAUGAUGUAGGUUUCUGGUUUGGAUUGACUACUCAAAUCUUUCGAAAUAAAAUGUCUUAAACAAGUCUUGCGGGUGGUAGGAUAUAUUUUAUAUCCGCCCUGAUAGCGACCGUGCACAAGGUGUUCAAACCCGCCAUAGUGGCUCACGUGUGUCGCGUUGAUCAGCCUGUGUAUAGUCCAACAGGCAUAAUUGUGUCGACUGAGGGGUAAUCAUCUCUCGUCAGUCGACAUUCUAUUGGACCGCACUCCACUUACCAUCAGGUGGGUCACUUUGCCAUGUCAAUAUAAGAAACAUGUGAUUUUAAUUCAGUUUCCAAUUGCACAUUACAAUGCGAUGUAUCCAUACAUUUUUUUAGGUAUCGUCUUUCCUAGAAUCUGUUUUUUAUGUCAUCUGUUUUUUUUUUAUUCUUAAUACUUUCGUUUUAUCAAAUAAUAUAUAAAACGAAAGUAUAAAAUAAACAAAAAAACUGAUACGACAGUAUUUUUUGAUAUUUUGUAAAAACUAUUUCGUUAUAUACAUUAGUAUUAGAAAUACUCUAAAUCAGAGGUUUCCUAACUUUUUUUUCUCAUAGACCACUUUCAAAGUUUUGCUGGUUCCGAUGGACCUUUUUUUUGUUUCGCGGAAUACAUUACCACUAACACCCAGCUUUCACGGGGUGCGAUUGGACAGUUAUAUUUGGGGCCACCGUGCCUUACCAACCUGCCUAGGACCCCUAUCAAUAUUAUCUGCCUAUAUUGAUAGGUGAAGUCAAGCCGACAUUUUAGUUCUUUCUAUCAAAUCAGAAAAAAUUUCGUGGGCGCUUACGAAUUGUGAAGCCUCAGUUUCCCGAGACCCCUGGGGUCCUCCUGGGUCUCUUUGGGAAUCAAUGAUGUGGAGAAUGCCACCCGAUGUAGAAAAGGCUUAUGUUUUUUGUCACCAGGUUUUCACCUCUCAAGUACAAGAAAGUAUAAAAACAGUAAUAUCACUUCUGUUUUUCUAUUUUUUUUUAUUACACAGGGUCAUUUUGACAUUACAUUCAUAAUUGAAACGAUUUGCUAAAAACAUCCUUUAAUAAUAAAUAUUACCAAAAAUUCUUGUUUUAAUUAUUUUAUGAUUAUGUUGUUGCGACGAAUUCUCUUAGUAGUAGUAGUAGUAGUAGUGGCAUUAGGGCGCGUAAAAUUAAAAUCACUUUUUAUUAAUAUUUAUUUUCUGUAAAACUUACACUUUUUUAUUUUCUUUAUUACAUCUACGGAUAACUUAAUAUAAAGUGUUAUCUUCAAUAAGAUAAGUAUGUGGUUUCAUUUAGUAACGCAAUGUCAAAAUGACCCUGUAAUAAAUUUCAAUUGUUUUCCCUUUAUUUAUGACACACAGUGUGUUGUUUUUUAGUUAAUAGAAAUCGCAUUUAUAUUUCGAAAAUGCAUUUUUAUUAUCUUAACCGUUACCUUAUGGUGGUAAUUUUUUUUUGUAAUCUAGUUUUAAGUUUACCUUUAUUUUUGUGAUAUACAAGGAAGCGAGCUUGUUUACAUCACAAAAUUUGUGAAGUGCUUUAUUUUUGUUAAUAUUUCAUAUCUUCCAAGUUUUUUUUUCAAUAAGGGGACGUUCAAGUGUUACACAACGCAAUUUUUGGAGAUUUUUCACUCCCCCUAUUCUAUUAUUCUCUCUGAUUGCAAGUAGUCAAAAAAUGUCUAAAAUUGUAUUCUGUAAUUACUUGCUAAUAUAAUGUUAAUACUGUAAAAAGAGCGUUUAACAAAAGCUUUGUUCUGAUUGGCUUAUUUUCACAAUGGAUUAAUAGUAGAUAGGGAUCGUUUAUAAACUGCGAUUAGUCAAUAUAAGUGUGGGUAAGUUUGUAAAAGACACUACUCUAGUUUAUUAAGCGAAGGUGUAGUAAAAAAGUUGUAAUAAAAAAUUGAAUUCAA